rnacentral:lncRNA from 1 species
UUUUGAUGUCGAAUACUAUUUAAAGGAACUUAUAACCCUAGAAACCCAUCUCUCUCUUCUACUUCUUUCUGCCAUCGCCGGCGACCGGUAAGGGUUCAACUCGACAACUCGUAGUAAGGGCUGAGAUAGAUUAGGGGUUGAGAGAUUCUGGGACAAAUUUCAGUUGGGAGGAACAGGUUCAACUCUCUUCACGAUGAAUGUAUGGAGUGACUUGUGCUUCAGUUCCUGAUUCUGGAGAAAUUUUUACUAGCCCUGACCCAGUGUCCACUGCAGCUUCAACCAAAGCUAGAAUGCGUUGGACACAAUAACUUCAUGAGGCCUUUGUUGGAGCUAUCAACCAGCUAAAAUAAUUGUCUUGUUUAUUUCUUUUGUUUUUGUUUUCGCAUGUUUCUGUGCUCUAUUUUCUUUUAAUUAACUAGAAUAGAAAAUAAUCUCCACAAUCCCUAAAAUUUACCCGUAUCCAGUUUAGUGUCUAUAAAAUUUCAUUGAAAUCGGAGUAGUUUAAGUUAGGUUUUUAUUCUCAUUUUGGUUUCUGGUCAUAGUGUUAGUUAAUCUGUUUUGUGGCAUUAUGUGUUCCACAGAGAUCACACUUACUCAUUUGUACCUGAAUUUGAAACAAAAAUGUUGGGACAGUUGCGAAAUAGAUAUUCUUUCUGGGGUUAACUUGUAUUUAUUUGGUUUUGUUUUAUUAAAAUGAUGUUUGCUUCAACCUGAAUUGGGUUUUUGCUUAUACACAGUGUUCUAGUUUUGCUGGAAAACAGAGGCAUGGUCCAACUAAAAGCUGUUUGGACUUGUUUUUCUUUAUGUAAAAGUCAGUAAAACCAUUGCUCUUUACAUCUCUCAUAUGAUACCCUCUUUCCAUUUCUCAUGUGUUCAGUCAUCCAUGAACAGCUUUUGGUUUGUCUGAAGACCUUGAACUUGAAAUACGGGCAAGGAUAUGGAUGAGGUAUCCAAGGAUGGUAGGGUGAAACCAAAACAUUUAAGCCUUACACUCGCUGGUAUCAUGUCCCAUAUAAGGCAUCAUGGAGUACUGCCCCUUUUUGGUACUUAAUCAAGAGAGCUUUGUCAUACAUUAAUCUUAGCUUCAUAUUCAGCAUAUGAUGAUUUCUUCCAAGGAAGAAAGCUGCUUGUCAUAGAGGAAAAGCAAGCCCUACAAGCUGACUGCUUUCCAUAUAUGGAACAAUUGUUAUAUUUAUACAAAUCCAAAUGUUGUUCAUCGUAGUUUCAUUGUCUUUUUUUUUUUU